ACUAAAAGCUCAGCGGCUCUCGUGACGAAUACUCGUGCUCGAAUUAAAUUAAAAAAAAUAAUAUCUGUCAUUUGCGAUACCGGCGCGAAUUUUGACAUAAAUUUUGGCGGGAUAUGCUCGCGAGUUUUACGUUCGGAUACGCGAAUGAAGGAUAAUUUAGUGUGGGACUGUUCACGUAGCAAACUGUGGAACAACGUGGCAUCCUGUAUGGAGAAAUGGUUCGGUGAUAAACGGCUGUGGUUAUUUGGCAACAACCUGCCGCUGCUACCGAGAAGGUCACGCGCGAGCAGUCGCGCGAUGGAGCGCUACGAGAAGCUCGCCAAGCUGGGCGAGGGCUCGUACGGGCUCGUGUACAAGUGCCGCAACCGGGACACCGGCGAGAUCGUCGCCGUCAAGAAGUUCGUCGAAAACGAAGAUGAUCCACUCAUCCGGAAGAUUGCCCUCAGGGAGAUACGAAUGCUUAAAAACUUGAAGCAUCCAAACUUGGUGAACCUGAUCGAGGUGUUCCGGCGCAAGCGCAAGCUGCACCUCGUGUUCGAGUACUGCGACCACACGGUGCUACAUGAGUUGGAGAAAUAUCCUGCUGGCUGUCCAGAGCUUCUAUCGAAGCAGAUAAUAUGGCAGACGCUGCAGGGCGUGGCGUACUGCCACCGACACAACUGCAUCCACAGAGACGUGAAGCCGGAGAACAUCCUGCUCACCGGCGAGGGAGUCGUCAAGCUAUGUGACUUCGGCUUCGCGAGGAUGAUCAGUGGAAGCUGUUCAUCGGAGUACUCGGUGCAUACCAUGAUACCCUUCGGCGUGGAUGUCCGCAGGAGGGCUAGUCCAGGUCCUGGAGAGAGCUACACAGACUACGUGGCGACGCGGUGGUACCGCGCGCCGGAGCUGCUGGUCGGCGACACCAUGUACAGCACCCCUGUCGACGUCUGGGCCAUAGGUUGUGUCUUCGCAGAACUUCUGUCAGGCGAAGCAUUAUGGCCGGGCAAAAGCGACCUAGACCAAUUAUAUCUAAUACGAAAAACCCUUGGGGAUCUACUGCCCAGGCAUAUGACAAUAUUCUCACAAAACACAUUUUUUCAGGGUAUGGCGCUGCCGGAGCCAACCACGGUGGAGCCACUACAGAAGAAAAUACCGCAACGGUAUUCCAGCAACGAGCUGGUACUAGACUUUAUGCAUAAAUGCUUAGACAAAGAUCCGAUGGUGAGGUGGACCUGCGAGCAACUGCUGAGGCAUCCCAUCUUCGAGAACUUCCUCUUCACGGUACCACAUUCAGACCAUGAGGAGUACGAGAAAUCUAGAAGAGCGCAGCAUCGAUACUUGGGUCGGAGAAGUCAUUUAACAGAAUCACAUCCGGAGCCAAUCACAGUGGAUAUUAGCGUCGCGCAAUCCCCAAAGAAGGGUAAAGGCAAAAAGAAAUAGCGUCUCCAAGAUUUAUAACCUCUUGUGGUGUAAGAGGAACUGGAUACAAAAGUGCAGUCGUCACCCCUGCUGCCCCAACUGAUAGUGACGGACCGCAACCAGCAGAACAAGAACAAGAAGACAGAGCUGGACUCCAGGAGUCACCUGCCCACCAUCUGACUAGCGCCGCCGCGCGCGCGCAUCCUACCCUCAUUGUGAUUAAAUGUUCUUCAUAUUCAGAAA